AUUUUGUAUCCAUUUCUAAGGUGUGAUGAGGAUUCAGAUUCUGUUUGUGGAGCUCACGCAGCCAGUUCCAGCCCCAGAGAUGAUGAUAACAAAGAAAAUUAUCCAGACAACACAGCUAUCUUAGAAGAAAGGUGGCUGCCUUUGCAAGAUACUCAGCAGCAGAAGGAGCAGGCUUUGAAGCCUGACAUGGGCAACUUAAAGCUAAGAAAGCCUAAGCCUGUGUCAAAGUUAGAAAAUGGAAAAGGCCAUGAGGAAAGUCAGGAGCUGGAGAGUUCAUUGCCAGGACUCUCAGAGCGGCAAGGGAAGGCAGGAUCCUCAGCUAAUGACUGUGCAUGGAACGUGGAUUUUAGAUGCCAGGAAGCUGUUGUGAGAUUUCAGCCAAGGUAAGCUUUGGGAUAAGAGAAUGCAUUUCACUU